UAUACGCAGGCCAAUGCUUCUAAUUUCAUAGCAAGCGAGCUUGCUAUGAAAUAGGCAACCUGUAAUAUAGGCAAGUGUGUGCUAUUUAUAGCGCUAGCCUACAAACCUAUAAUUAUAUUAACUCUAAGAGAAAUUUAAUAAUAAACGAAGUGAAUUGAAAUAUCUUAGUAACUUUAGGAAAAGAAAUCAAAAGAGAUUCUAUGAUUAGCGUGAGCUAAAAUAGACUAGCCUAAAAAGUCAAAUGGUGGAUAAACUGUUUAAAUUAAAUGGGGAACCUUCCUCAAAGGCUAAAUAUAAUAUAUAAGCGAUAGUGGAAAGUACCGUGAGGGAACCAAAACAAAAACAGUGAUUUUAUAAGCAGUUCGGGAAAAUAAAAAAAAGUUAGAACGUACCUUUUGCAUAAUGGGUCACCAAGUUAACAUUAGAUGCGAGUAGAAGGGAGCUUUAUAAAAAAAAAUAUAUUUUUUUUUUAUAGCCCCGUGCAUACGUAGUUAAACCGAGCGUUAAAAUAACGGUAAGUAUCUAAAGUUAGACCCGAAGCCUGGUGAUUUUACCAUAAUCAGGAUUAUAAAAGUCCGAACGGAAUAUUGUAGCAUAAAUAUCCGAAGAAUUAUGGUAGGUGUAGUGAAAGACAAUACUGACCAGGAUAGCUGGUUUUCUGCGAAACCUAUAACAGUAGGCAAUUUAAGUAUAAUAUCUUAGCAGGUACAGAAUUUAAUCUCAGACAAGACAUAAGGCUUAGCUUGCUAGCAAGUAAAGCUCAUGUUUUAUUUUGUACAAAUUGGGGGAUCAUGAAGAUUUUAUCAGUGAGUAUGUAGACUCGGAAUGGCAAAGAUAUAUCUUAAAUCAUCAGACAUAGAAUGAUAAGGUUGUAUGUCAAAAGGGAAACAGCCCAGAACAAGAGUUAAGGUUCCUAAAUUAUUAGUUGAGUGAAAUUAAGAAGGUUUUUAUUAAAGUCGACAAGGAGAUAGGCUUAGAAGCAGCCAUAAUUUUAUGACCUCGUAACAGAGCGCUUGUUAAGUUUUAAAAGCAUCGAAAAUUUAUCGGAUCUAAACAAUAUACCGAAACCUUGUCCAUAUUAUUUUAUAAUUAAAGCUUAAUUAUAAUUAAAUGGGGUAGCAGAACGUUGAGCUAAAUUAAGAUUUUUAUUUUUUAAAUGAAAUUAUAAUAAUUUAACUCAAGUGAUAAUGGUGACAUGAGUAACUAAAAGAAAAAAUAAAAUUUUUCCGCCUAAAGCUUAUGGAUGUAAUUAAGUAACGGCCUCUAAGUUUAUAUUAUCUAAAGAUUUAAACGAUGAGAUAAUCUUUUGUACUAAGGACGACAUUUUAAGUGAAAAAUGUACUGGAAAAAUAGUACUAAAUUAAUGGCUAUAGCUAAUUAGGGCUAUAAAAAAAUAUAUUUUUUUUAUAAAGCUCGCUAUAGCUAUAAUUGAAAAGUAACCGUACCUAGAAUCUGAAACAAGUAAGCUAGUAGAGAAUACGAAGGCGUAAAUGAGCUAACAAUCAUAAAGGAACUCGGCAAAUUGACUACCGUAACUUCGGGAUAAGGAGAGCUCAUUAUUCUUGAUUAAUAUCAGGUAAAGAGGAAGAAGCAUGAAAUAGUGUUGUACGACUGUUUAAUUAAAACACAGCACUUUGCUGAAAGAUUAAAAAUCUAAGUAUAGAGUGUGAUGUCUGCCCGGUGCCGGCUGGUUAACAGAUAUAAUUAAAUAUACUAAUAUUUGAUGUAGACGGAAACCCCGGUUAAAGGCGGCCUUAACGUGAGGGUCCUAAGGUAGCGAAAUGCCUUGGCCGUUAAAUGCGGUCUUGCAUGAAUGAUGUAACGAUACAACAGCUGUCUCUAUGAUUGACUCAGUGAAAUUGGAAUAGCUGUGCAGAUACAGUUUACCUCUAGUUAGACGAGAAGACCCUAUGCAGCUUUACUGUCACUAAUUAUAGAGUAUGAUAAACAAUUUUCAGAUUAUAAGGUAAUUGACGGCUAGCUUGUUCAGCAAGCUAGCUCUAUGACAAUGAGAAUCCUUUAUUUUUUUUUCAUAUGAAUGAAUUGGUUUAGGAUUAUGAGUAGGUAGCUGCUUCUGCUACUUGGCGCAAGCAUUGCUUGCGUCAGGUGUCUGAAGUAUGCAUUCCAGCUCAUGCAUAGUAAAUCAACCUAAUUCAGCUUAUUUUCCUUUCUGCCAUAAGCGCAUAAUGAUAGAUUUAACUUAAAUUUUGAUUUAUGCCGAGCCCCUCCGGGGCUACUGCAGAAAUAGAUAAGUACCCUUGGCUAAGGAACUAUCGCUAGGGGACAGUUUAUGUGGGGCACAGACCCUGUAAAGAGUAAACAGGAGUGUCUAAUAAUUUAUAAUUAUUUUGUUUGCGAUUUAAGAUAGUGAAACUAUUUUUAAUCAUAUAAAAUUAUUUAUAUGUACAUUCGUUGUAUAUAUAUUUAAAAAAAGGUAGGAUUUUCACUAUAUAGAAAUUAGAGAUAAUAAAAAUAUUAAGAAUAUACGUUUCAGGCAGGGGAGGGGGAAGCUCCUCCUACUGAAAGGUAGCACUAAUAUUUUUUAGCUAUUAAGACAGGCUAUCAAGCUAGGCUCUAAUAGUUAUGUAUUAAUUAUCUAAAAAGCUCAACGGCUAAAUCUUGCCUUACUGUUUGAUUAUCAACAAAUCU
rnacentral:rRNA from 1 species